AUUAUUUUGGCAGAUUAGUGCUAUUGAUUUAGAGUCUUUAUAAGUAAUAUAAUAUUACAAAUAAUACUUGAUU
rnacentral:tRNA from 1 species